rnacentral:rRNA from 1 species
GGGUUGUGAGGUUAAGUGACUAAGCGUACACGGUGGAUGCCUAGGCAGUCAGAGGCGAUGAAGGGCGUGCUAAUCUGCGAAAAGCGU